rnacentral:rRNA from 1 species
GGCAACCUGCCCCUUAGACUGGGAUAAUUCCGGGAAACCGGAGCUAAUACCGGAUAAUCCCUUUUUCCACCUGGAGAGAGGGUGAAAGAUGGCUUCGGCUAUCACUAGGGGAUGGGCCCGCGGCGCAUUAGCUAGUUGGUAAGGUAACGGCUUACCAAGGCAACGAUGCGUAGCCGACCUGAGAGGGUGAUCGGCCACACUGGGACUGAGACACGGCCCAGACUCCUACGGGAGGCAGCAGUAGGGAAUCUUCCGCAAUGGACGAAAGUCUGACGGAGCAACGCCGCGUGAGUGAGGAAGGCCUUCGGGUCGUAAAGCUCUGUUGUGAGGGAAGAAGCGGUACCGUUCGAAUAGGGCGGUACCUUGACGGUACCUCACCAGAAAGCCACGGCUAACUACGUGCCAGCAGCCGCGGUAAUACGUAGGUGGCAAGCGUUGUCCGGAAUUAUUGGGCGUAAAGCGCGCGCAGGCGGCUUCUUAAGUCUGAUGUGAAAUCUCGGGGCUCAACCCCGAGCGGCCAUUGGAAACUGGGGAGCUUGAGUGCAGAAGAGGAGAGUGGAAUUCCACGUGUAGCGGUGAAAUGCGUAGAGAUGUGGAGGAACACCAGUGGCGAAGGCGACUCUCUGGUCUGUAACUGACGCUGAGGCGCGAAAGCGUGGGGAGCAAACAGGAUUAGAUACCCUGGUAGUCCACGCCGUAAACGAUGAGUGCUAGGUGUUAGGGGUUUCGAUGCCCGUAGUGCCGAAGUUAACACAUUAAGCACUCCGCCUGGGGAGUACGGCCGCAAGGCUGAAACUCAAAGGAAUUGACGGGGACCCGCACAAGCAGUGGAGCAUGUGGUUUAAUUCGAAGCAACGCGAAGAACCUUACCAGGUCUUGACAUCCUUUGACCACCCAAGAGAUUGGGCUUCCCCUUCGGGGGCAAAGUGACAGGUGGUGCAUGGUUGUCGUCAGCUCGUGUCGUGAGAUGUUGGGUUAAGUCCCGCAACGAGCGCAACCCUUGAUCUUAGUUGCCAGCAUUAAGUUGGGCACUCUAAGGUGACUGCCGGUGACAAACCGGAGGAAGGUGGGGAUGACGUCAAAUCAUCAUGCCCCUUAUGACCUGGGCUACACACGUGCUACAAUGGAUGGUACAAAGGGCAGCGAAACCGCGAGGUGAAGCCAAUCCCAUAAAGCCAUUCUCAGUUCGGAUUGCAGGCUGCAACUCGCCUGCAUGAAGCCGGAAUUGCUAGUAAUCGCGGAUCAGCAUGCCGCG